UACGUAGGGUGCGAGCGUUAAUCUGAAUUACUGGGCGUAAAGCGUGCGCAGGCGGUGAUGUAAGACAGAUGUGAAAUCCCCGGGCUCAACCUGGGAACUGCAUUUGUGACUGCAUCGCUGGAGUGCGGCAGAGGGGGAUGGAAUUCCGCGUGUAGCAGUGAAAUGCGUAGAUAUGCGGAGGAACACCGAUGGCGAAGGCAAUCCCCUGGGCCUGCACUGACGCUCAUGCACGAAAGCGUGGGGAGCAAACAGG
rnacentral:rRNA from 1 species